rnacentral:rRNA from 1 species
UACGGUGGUUAUAGCAGCGAGGAUCCACCUCUUCCCAUUCCGAACAGAGAAGUUAAGCUCGCUCGCGCCGAUGGUACUGCACUGCGUUGUGGGAGAGUAGGUCGCCGCCACUU